CUUAAACACAACUAUGAAUUUCCGUAUCCAACUUUUAUCGUCCGUCUUAUUUAUUUAUUUUUUAUGAUUAGUAUUUUUAUUAUAUGAUAAAACAUGAAUAAUACUUUAUGCUUGACUUAUGUUUUUAUAAAUUUUAGCAUUUUUUAAAUAAGAUGGAUAAUCAAAGUUGAAUAUGGAAACUUAUGGCUACUUAAA
rfam:Oryza sativa (indica cultivar-group) chromosome 3, whole genome shotgun sequence.